rnacentral:rRNA from 1 species
AGCUCCAAUAGCGUAUAUUAAAGUUGUUGCAGUUAAAACGCUCGUAGUCGGAUUUCGGGGCGGGUGUGCCGGUCUGCCGAUGGGUAUGCACUGGCGGGUCCGUCCUUCCUUCCGGAGGCCGUUCCUACUCUUAGCUGAGCGGGUUUGGUAGACGGAAAGUUUACUUUGAAAAAUCAGAGUGUUUCAAGCAGGCAGCUCGCUCUUGCAUGGAUUAGCAUGGGAUAAUGAAAUAGGACUUUGGUGCUAUUUUGUUGGUUUCGAACACCGAAGUAAUGAUUAACAGGGACAGUCAGGGGCACUCGUAUUCCGCCGAGAGAGGUGAAAUUCUUAGACCAGCGGAAGACGAACCACUGCGAAAGCAUUGCCAGGGAUGUUUUCA